rnacentral:rRNA from 1 species
UACGUAGGGGGCUAGCGUUGUCCGGAAUCAUUGGGCGUAAAGCGCGCGUAGGCGGCCCGGUAAGUCCGUUGUGAAAGUCAAAGGCUCAACCUUUGAAAGCCGAUGGAUACUGCCGGGCUAGAGUCCGGAAGAGGCGAGUGGAAUUCCUGGUGUAGCGGUGGAAUGCGCAGAUAUCAGGAGGAACACCGAUAGCGAAGGCAGGUCUCUGGGCAUUAACUGACGCUGAGGAGCGAAAGCAUGGGGAGCGAACAGG